AGUACUGUGUUGUUUUGGGCCCCUCACUACAAGAAAGACAUUGAGAUCCUGGAAUGGGUUCAGAAAAGGGCAGUGAAGCUGUGAAGGGUUUGGGGCACAAGUCUUACGGGGAAAGGCUGAGGGAACUGGGAUUGUUUGGUCUGGAGAAGAGGAGGCUCAGUAGAGAUCUUAUGGCUCUCAACAACUGCCUGAAAGGAGGCUGUGCUGAGGUGGAAGUUGGCCUCUUCACCCAGGUAACAUGAACAGGACAAGAGAUUUAAAGAUAAAAAUUUAAAGAAGGCUUUAAAUUGUGCCAAGGUAGGUUCAGGUGGGAUAUUAGGAAGAAUUACUUCUCCAAAAGAGUAGUAAUGCAUUGAAACAGACUGCCAAGGGAGAUGAUGGAGUCACCAUUCCAGGAGGUGUUUAAGUAAAGGGUAGAUGUAACACCUAGGGUCCUAAGUUUAGUGGGCAGUACUGGUGGUAGGGGGACGGUUGGACUAGAUGAUCUUAGAAGUCUUUCCCAACUUCAAUGAUUCCAUGACAUUUAUCAACAGAGAAACAGUGGCAGUGAGGUCGUUGUGCUAACAAGGGGAGCUGACAAUUCUGGGUCCUGCAGCCAAAAACAUGUGCUGCUGAAGUCUCCAAGAAAGAAGUCAGACCAGUAAUUUGGCUCCCAGCGCCCUGGAAGAUUCCCUGCUCAUCGGCUACCACUGGACAGGAUGUCAUGUCCCAGUGUUCCCUCUACCAAAAAAACAGGGCCACCCACAGGAUGUGAGCCUGCCAAUGAAGUCCUUAAAGCAUACUUGUCUUGUCUCACUGCUGGAAUGGUGCUGGUGGAAAAGGGCUGUGAGGUGGUAGGGAGAUGGACAAAGGGAGGGUGGGGGAGUAUUUGGUAGAGUUGAGUAUGGGAGCUGCCCAGGAAGCAAGAAACCAAGGAAGGUGAUGCUGAGCCACUCAGGAGGUGUGUAUCCACCCCUGUGCAUGGGCAUAUGGCAGUGGCUCAUCCCAAAGGUACUUCUCCAUCACCAAGCACAAAGAAAGGCAUGAUCAUGUUCUGAGUACCAACGGGGGGAAUAAGAGGGGCUCGGGUGGCUGAUCUGGUGCUUGGGAUGCUGAGGAAGAUGCUGCCAGUAUCUCUGUCCUUGUGAGCUCACAGGGAGGAUUCCCCCCAUCACCAGGGUGACAGGGUCCCCAUUAUCUGCUCAACAAAGGAACUUCUCCCCAGCAUCUUUCCAGACCAUCAGACACAUCAGUGUCUAGGGAGGUGGGGGGCUGAGUGGAUACAAGGAUGGUGAGGGCCCAGCAGGGGCCCAGCAGAAGGCACAAUGGGCACUCCAGAGGCCAGGGCAGAGUGCCCCCCAGCCGCCAGAACAAGAAGAAUCGGAGGUUUUCAAACACGCCACUGGACAAGAAAAAAGGGUAUACACGUGUCUGUGUCACCUACUACUACUGGAAAAAAAGAUGAAUGCCACUGACUGCCUUUCUACCACCGUGCUCUGCUGGGAAAAACAAAGCCAAUCCUCACAGCACCGUGAGAACAGGACCAGUCGCAACACCAAGAUUAGCAUCACCUGCAGCCCCUCACCUGUCCACUCAGCCUCACCAAAGAAGACCUCUUAAUAAACUCCCUAAGAUGCA